UCUCACCUCAUUGUUCGUCAAGUCAAUGACAUCUACGAAGUUCGCAAGCCUGAACUGGUGCCGUACUACACUGCGGCCCGGAACCUCAUGGAAAAAUUUCAACAUGUUGAAGUGCUCCAUGUCCCACGAAGCAGAAAUGCGCCUGUUGAUGCCUUGGCAAAACUAGCGGCAGCAUUGGUGCUCCCAGAUAAUAAAACCAUGCAGGUAAAUAUUGAAGAAAGGUGGCUCCUCCCAGCUGUUCUGGAGCUUAUCCCGGCGGAGUACAAAGUCAACUCCAUCAUGACGAACACCGUGGAGGAAGACGAGUGGCUGCAACCCUUCCUCGACUACUUCAAGCAUGGCAGUCUCCCCGACGACCCCGUCGCGAGACGCCAACUACAACGACGACUCCCCUUUUAUCUUUAUGAAGCAGGUGUCUUAUACAGG
rnacentral:rRNA from 1 species